rnacentral:tRNA from 3 species
AGCUCUGUAGUGAAGUUCAUGUCAGAUUGCAAAUCUGAAGAUAUAUCUUAUUAAUGAUGUCAGAGUUU